CACGUCACGCCCGGGUGGGGGCUGAGUGGGGGCGCCGCGCCUGCGCAAAGCGGACCCGCGGACGGAGGCGUUGGGGGGACGCGAAGGUCCUGGGCCCUCCGACCGAGGUAUAUCUCCAUGAAUAACCUAAAUGAUCCCCCAAAUUGGGAUAUCCGGCCUAAUUCCAGGGCGGAUGGUGGUGAUGGAAGCAGAUGGAAUUAUGCCCUGUUGGUUCCAAUGCUGGGAUUGGCUGCUUUUCGAUGUUUUAGGAACAAGAAACAAGCAUAGAAAACGGGCUAGGAGGACAGUGGAUGAAACUGAUGGGCUGAUCACAGUUCCAGGAAGGUCUCGCCAUGGAGGUGACAGGGUGAAUGCUGCAGUGCAGGACUGGGGGUGCCACAGGAACGGGUGCUCCAGGUAGGGCGUCGUCCUGGAAGGAUGAGAGUCCUGAGAACAGCUGGGUGGGAGCAGGGUCUGCCGGCCGCACGGGGGUGGGGAGGGUGCCAUGAGGGCCUGAGAGCAGUGAGGCCAGGGAGGAACCCUAAUCCCUCAUCUGCUUGUCACCUGGAGCCUGACAGAGCCCCAUGGAGCUUGGAACGGAGCUGGGGAGGAGCAUUUGCCAGGCCUCCCGUCCUCUCCUUCUGCCCACUGGGAUUGCUCCUGAAGGAAGAAGAACCCAUCAAGUCCUUGUAAAUGUGCUGGGAGAAAACCCCUGACACUGCCUGGUGCUCUCUCCUGGGGAGCCACUGUCGCGGGUGAAGUUUCUGGGCUCAGGUCCAUGGCACCUGGAAGAUGUCGCAUUUAAGUGAAAUGAUCUUCAAAGCCCAAGAGGAAACGUUCCAGGCACCCCUCAGAGACCCUAUGAGGCAGGAAAGACAGGGGGGCUACAAGGGUCCCCAGCUUCUCCAGCUCGACCUGUCCCUGGAAAUUACUCCCUGAAAUCGUGAGCAGAGCUGGAUGCUGGGUCAGUUCUGUGAUCUGCGGGACUCUACCCUUAAUGGCUUCAUUUAUUUACAUGAAUCUAACCUUAUAUUUAUCUAUGUAAAGAAAGAAAUUGGUCAUUUCUUAGAUUCACCUGUGCUUGAGAUAUCUUUCUAAGAAUAUUUUCCUAGCCAUUAAAGAACAUGUCAGUUUUCUUUUUUCAUUUCCCUGUUGCUAUGUGACAAAGGUAAUAUUCUGUACUUUUUGUA